GAAGAAAGACGCACAGAAAAAAGAAGACAAAUGAAUCAAACCUGCAACUGCAUGUACAGCUGUGUGCAGUAUAUGUGUACGGUAUAUCAAUAAGAAACACUAAGCAGCGCUUAAAGGUGACAGACUCAAAUAAAUGACACACAAUUCAAAUAAGUAAAUUAAAAAAAACAUAUCUGUCAGGUGGAAUUAGUGAGUACACCCCUACCGCUUUCACAGUUUAAAAUCUCAGACCAUCCUGUCGUGGUCCUUGGUGUAUUCCAAUUUACUAUUAUGUAUUUUUCCCAUCCAUCGCCCUUCCUUUGCUUAUUUGGGAACCAGAUGCACAAACCACCCCAACUAGCUCCUUUUGAUGUGGAAGAGUAGCGGCUUUAGACUGUUUUUUUUUUUUUUUUUUUUUUUAAUUUUGGUUGUAAUCUUUGAAUUUUGAUGUUUGUGUGAUAAGUUUAUAGCUUUCAGAGUUUUCUUUACUUUCUUCUCAAGUAUGAGUAUAGAGUUUAACUUGAAACACAAACCCGGCCAUUCCUAAUGAUAAUAGAGAAUUACUAACACGUUACAAAAUGCUACAAAUGAAGAGAUCGGCUCACAGCAAAACGGAUGGUGAGCAACAGGAUGAAUCGUCCUGUUGCUGACUAUUUUGUCUCAGCAGCACAUUGGCUCAGACAAAACAGGAACAUGUUGUCAUGUCAGUUUGGCCAGCCGUAGCUUUAGGUUCAACCAAAGAGACAUGAGCCCACUCCUGAAGAGCUUCUGUGACUCUGUGGUGGCGUCAGCGAUCUUUUACGUUGUGGUCUGCUGGGACAGCAGCAUCUCUGCUGGGGAUGAACAGGCUGAUCCGGAGGGCCAAUAUAUUGGAUUUUUAUUUCUUUUUCUGAUGCAACAUGUGCAAUUUUGACAUACUAUUUUAUUUCGUUCUAUUUUGUUUUAUUCUAUUGUAUUUCUUAAUUUUUGCUCCUUUCAACUUUGUACUGUCCACUUUCUGCUAUGACCAACCAAAUUUCCCACUUGUGGGACUAAUAAAGGGUCAUCUUAUCUUAUCUUAUCUCAUCUUAUCUUAUCUUAUCUUAUCUUAUCUUAUCUUAUCACACAGAAACCCCUCUAAAAAACAACUGGCUUCAUUUUCUACAUAUUUUCAAUAAUCAUACAAUA
ensembl:lncRNA